rnacentral:rRNA from 1 species
AGAGUUUGAUCCUGGCUCAGGACGAAUGCUGGCGGCGCGCCUAACACAUGCAAGUCGAACGAGAGAUGAGGAGCUUGCUCUUCAAAUCGAGUGGCGAACGGGUGAGUAACGCGUGAGGAACCUGCCUCAAAGAGGGGGACAACAGUUGGAAACGACUGCUAAUACCGCAUAAGCCCACGGCUCGGCAUCGAGCAGAGGGAAAAGGAGCAAUCCGCUUUGAGAUGGCCUCGCGUCCGAUUAGCUAGUUGGUGAGGUAACGGCCCACCAAGGCGACGAUCGGUAGCCGGACUGAGAGGUUGAACGGCCACAUUGGGACUGAGACACGGCCCAGACUCCUACGGGAGGCAGCAGUGGGGAAUAUUGCACAAUGGGGGAAACCCUGAUGCAGCGACGCCGCGUGGAGGAAGAAGGUCUUCGGAUUGUAAACUCCUGUUGUUGAGGAGGAUAAUGACGGUACUCAACAAGGAAGUGACGGCUAACUACGUGCCAGCAGCCGCGGUAAAACGUAGGUCACAAGCGUUGUCCGGAAUUACUGGGUGUAAAGGGAGCGCAGGCGGGAGAACAAGUUGGAAGUGAAAUCCAUGGGCUCAACCCAUGAACUGCUUUCAAAACUGUUUUUCUUGAGUAGUGCAGAGGUAGGCGGAAUUCCCGGUGUAGCGGUGGAAUGCGUAGAUAUCGGGAGGAACACCAGUGGCGAAGGCGGCCUACUGGGCACCAACUGACGCUGAGGCUCGAAAGUGUGGGUAGAAAACAGGAUUAGAUACCCUGGUAGUCCACACCGUAAACGAUGAUUACUAAGUGUUGGAGGAUUGACCCC